UUGGAGGGCAAGUCUGGUGCCAGCAGCCGCGGUAAUUCCAGCUCCAAUAGCGUAUAUUAAAGUUGUUGCAGUUAAAAAGCUCGUAGUUGAAUUUCGGGGUCAGUAGGUUGGUCAUGCCACUGGUAUGUACUGGUCUCACUGAUUCCUCCUUCCUGAUGAACUGUAAUGCCAUUAAUUUGGUGUCUUGGGAAAUCAGGACUGUUACUUUGAAAAAAUUAGAGUGUUUAAAGCAGGCUUACGCUUGAAUACAUUAGCAUGGAAUAAUGAAAUAGGACGUUUGAUCUUAUUUUGUUGGUUUCUAGGAUCGACGUAAUGAUUAAUAGGGAUAGUUGGGGGCAUUAGUAUUCAAUUGUCAGAGGUGAAAUUCUUGGAUUUAUUGAAGACUAACUACUGCGAAAGCAUUUGCCAAGGAUGUUUUCAUUAAUCAAGAACGAAAGUUAGGGGAUCGAAGACGAUCAGAUACCGUCGUAGUCUUACCAUAAACUAUGCCGACUAGGGAUCGGAUGAUGUUAAUUCUUUUUAAUGACUCAUUCGGCGCCUUACGGGAAACCAAAGUGUUUGGGUUC
rnacentral:rRNA from 1 species